rnacentral:rRNA from 1 species
GAUGAACGCUGGCGGCGUGCCUAAUACAUGCAAGUCGAGCGAACAGAUGAGGAGCUUGCUCCUCUGACGUUAGCGGCGGACGGGUGAGUAACACGUGGAUAACCUACCUAUAAGACUGGGAUAACUUCGGGAAACCGGAGCUAAUACCGGAUAAUAUAUUGAACCGCAUGGUUCAAUAGUGAAAGACGGUUUUGCUGUCACUUAUACAUGGAUCCGCGCCGCAUUAGCUAGUUGGUAAGGUAACGGCUUACCAAGGCAACGAUGCGUAGCCGACCUGAGAGGGUGAUCGGCCACACUGGAACUGAGACACGGUCCAGACUCCUACGGGAGGCAGCAGUAGGGAAUCUUCCGCAAUGGGCGAAAGCCUGACGGAGCAACGCCGCGUGAGUGAUGAAGGUCUUCGGAUCGUAAAGCUCUGUUAUUAGGGAAGAACAAAUGUGUAAGUAACUAUGCACGUCUUGACGGUACCUAAUCAGAAAGCCACGGCUAACUACGUG